rnacentral:rRNA from 1 species
UACGGAGGGUGCGAGCGUUGUCCGGAAUCAUUGGGCGUAAAGGGCGCGUAGGUGGCCCGGUCAGUUCGUGGUGAAAGCGCGGGGCUCAACCCUGCGUCGGCCAUGAAUACUGCCGCGGCUGGAGCACUGUAGAGGCAGGCGGAAUUCCGGGUGUAGCGGUGGAAUGCGUAGAGAUCCGGAAGAACACCGGUGGCGAAGGCGGCCUGCUGGGCAGUUGCUGACACUGAGGCGCGAAAGCGUGGGUAGCAAACAGG